rnacentral:rRNA from 1 species
CCUACGGGAGGCAGCAGUGGGGAAUAUUGGGCAAUGGGCGCAAGCCUGACCCAGCAACGCCGCGUGAAUGAAGAAGGCUUUCGGGUUGUAAACCUCUUUUGGCAGGGACGAAGCAAGUGACGGUUCCCGACGAAUAAGCCACGGCUAACUACGUGCCAGCAGCCGCGGUAAUACGUAGGUGGCAAGCGUUAUCCGGAUUUAUUGGGUGUAAAGGGCGUGUAGGCGGGAAUGCAAGUCAGAUGUGAAAACUAUGGGAUCAACCAAUAGACUGCAUUUGAAACUGUAGUACUUGAGUGCAGGAGAGGCGAGCGGAAUUCCGUGUGUAGCGGUGAAAUGCGUAGAUAUACGGAGGAACACCAGUGGCGAAGGCGGAUUGCUGGACUGUAACUGACGCUGAGGCGCGAAAGCGUGGGGAGCAAACAGGAUUAGAUACCCGAGUAGUC